GGGGUUGUGGUUCAGUGGCAGAGUGCUCGCCUAUCACGUGUGAGGCCCUGGGUUCAAUUCUCAGCACCA
rnacentral:tRNA from 1 species